UUGGAGUCCAGCAGAAGCUCCGGCUCCGCCAUUCAGCCUGGUACUGUGGCUACGACCGAGGAGCCGAGGACACCAGAGGGAGACAGCGUGAGACGAGAGACACGCGCUCAGCAGGUCGUUCCCAAGAUAAACUCCCCAAACUGAGAUGCACAUGUUUUUUGAGAGUAGUUCGGACUGUAGGUUGUUUUAAGUUCAAUUUCCCUCUUAAGUCAUAACCCCCUUCUCUGUUCUGGAGCAUGUCUUGUAGGUUUUGUAGGUAAUAUAAAUAUGACGAUGUUAUAUAGGGUAUAUAUAAUGUGAAUCGGCACGUAUUAAUGUCCAUAAUGCAUUCAGUAUUUAAUGUAACCUAUAGCAUUACUCAUCAGUUCUAACAUCCUGUACAUUUUCGCUGCGUUAUGUGGACUCGUCAUUUUGUAGAUCAUCCUGGUCGAUAGGUGGCGCUGAUGUGGACUUAAUGUUUGCCAAACGUCUUGUAGAACGAGAAGAAGAAGAAGAAGAAGAAGAAGAAGAAGAAGAAUGUCUUCCCUGGAUUGUUAGUUUUAGAAAGAUGAUGUCAACCUUACAUUCACACAUUUAGCGAGCUGUGUAACUGGAACAGGAUGUAACACCAAAGAGACGUGGUUGUAUGCCACUAUUGGGCUCACGUGAAGCUCUCGUCGUCUGGGGUCAGGCCUGCGACAUCCCGAGCCGUUAGCUGCUAAUGCUAAUAUAGAAGAAAUACAGCGUUCGUGAGCAACGCUGUAGUGUUGCUAAGUAUUUGUUGUAGCCAUUUGGUUUGUAUCAGGAUUUGCUAAUUCUGCUUCUGUGGUUUAAGGCAUAUUAGUAUCAACUCUGCUUGGCGACCAAAUGUGGCUACAUGAAGCAAAACAACCUCGUACCCUCUAUCUAAACUUCUCUUUCUACCCGUUCCCUUUUAUUCCGAGACACUCCUCCAAACCUAAACUCUGAGAUUAAACGUGUCAGAAUUUGAAAUAACUGGUGGCUUUUGACUUCCACAGAACAACCUGGUGAUACAGGGGCGAACCAUUGAAGUGCACUACUACAACAGGAGACCGAUGUGAAGAGACUGGUUCUGCAAUGCUGGGAGUGGCCUUUCUAACCAUGUCGUAAUUCCAACAUAUGUAAUAUUUUUGUUUCUGCUUUGAUAUAAUAGAAAUAAAGAAUUGCCGUUCAUGUAUUACAGUGUAAUAUGUCAAAUUUGGGGAAAAUGGGGAAGUGUAUGAGGUGUGGAGCAGCAAAAGGGGGUGAGUUGUUACUACAGCAAAGCUAAAGAGUAUCUAGCUCUGUCCUGCACUGUUCGUGUCUUCUGCUGACAUACAAUAACUCUGUGUGUAAAUCAUUUCUCACUGUCACUGGUUUGAAUACAGAAUUGCAGACAGGAAACUACAUUGCAGACACUAUAAUUAUUAAAAACAUUGCCCCUGAUUCAACUGUUGAUGGGAUUUUGGACAUAUUGUCUCCCUACACCAAAGUGUCUGCGGGCGACGUCAGCCUCAUCAAAGACAAGCAAACAGGAUGGAAUAGAGGCUUUGCCUAUGUUAAACUCUCAUCAGUUUCAGUAUGUAUGUUGUCAGUACAUAGUAAAAAUGUAAGUCACUGUUGUUGUUUUUGUACAUAAGUGUGACAGUGUUGUGUUUUUACUUGUAAAGGAGAAUUCUCGGGUGCAUUUUGCCACUUCACAGUUAUUACAAAAAAAAAUCCCAGAACACUGCAGCUGCAUCUGCCUUUCAAAUUGCAGAGUGGCCUGGUUGUCGCUAACAACCGAGACAGUGACCCAGAGGAGGACAGCUCAUAUAGAGCAGCGGAUGAAGAGGGUAAAGGAACAGACUGGACGAAGGUCGACUGUCUGCUGUGUCGACGUCGGUUCCCCACCAAAGAGGCUCUGCAGCGUCACACGCGGCUCUCUGACCUCCACAAGCAAAAUGUAGAAAUACAGAGAAGAUCAACGCUCCUGAAAGCUGAGCUGGAGGAGCUGGAGAGGAAAGGGACCGAGCUGAGGUACAGAGAAGUUCAACCAACCUGAUUGUCUACCCAGGAAGAAAUUUUUACACCUCCAGUCUACCAACAGCCUGCCGAGGACAGCCUCACUAGUGAUAAUAUUAGGACCAAAAUGUUGCAAACUAUGGGCUGGAUGGAACGUCUGGGGCACCACCAACAGGCCAUCGCCACUCCCGUCUCGGCUUCAUUAGGUGCCAAGACAAGCACAUAUGAACUCUCAGUAUCAGAAGCCUACAAUGACGCUGUUUGUAAGGCCUUGUCUUCUGAGUUGAAGUGAACCAGAGGAAGAAAAGUAAUCGCACUGAACUGUGCAAUCCUAAUCUUGUGGCCAAAUGAUCUCACUUUGAAAAGGAAAAUAUAGCUUUUUUCUUCUUCUCCCUGUACAGAUUUGAACUGUAAUUUUUAUCAUGAAAUAUGUAUAUAAAAUGUAUGUUUUUUUAUAUAUAGCUUAAUAUUUAUUUUGUAAUUCAGCAUAUGUUUUCCUGUCUCUCACACACACACACACACGUCCAUUUGUUUGAAUGCGGGUGCAUCUGCUGUAGAUGUGCCGUGGUUUCUUUAUUUGUCUGAGAAACCAAAAGAAUCACGAUUAAACCGAACCUCUGUGCUCAAAAAAUAUGCUCUAACUGUGAAACAAAUGUCUUAUUAUGAAGAAAAAUAACUUCAUAGGAAAUUGAUAACUUCCCAUAUAUGCUUCCCAUACAUGCUGGCUGCAGUUGUAAUUUGUAAAGACAUUAAAACCAACGAGUGAAAUUACAACCAAUUACACUAUUUAGGAGUGAAGUACUUUCAACAGUAACUAUUAAGUGAGAAACUUUGUCACAGCUACUGAACUUUGUACCCCAAAGAACUGUGAUUGGCAUUAAUGAUCUCAAAGAUCAAUAUUAAAAGGUCAAAGUGGUGGGAACUUGACAGAAAGCUGUUAUUGUUGAAGUGAUCUGACGGAGGCUGGUUAUUUCCUGUCAGGUUUCCAUUCCCUCAGUACUUGCUGAGGGUUCCAUCUGCACCAUUAUUAAAAUUCCCUCUGGUCCUAAUGCACAUGAAUUAAAAUCCUGGUUAGAA